rnacentral:lncRNA from 1 species
GGAAGCCCAUGUGACCAGGCGGGAGUUUCGCACGCUUAGAAGCCAAGUGUCGUUUGAGCGGCAAAACAUGCCAAAGCUCGUUCCACCACCAAAGUAUCCAAAUCAUUAAAGGCACUGCACCCAAAACCCCUGCCACCCACCAUGCCUCCAUGAUUUCCAUAUCUCUGAUUCUCUGAAAUCUCGUUUCCUACAUCCAGAUCUGAGAGCACAACUGAUAGCUUUUAAGUAACAUUUUUAGUUAUGAAGUCUAUCGUCUCGGCUAUUUUAGUGGAUGUUGACAGUGGUCCUGCAAUCUGGACAAGGAGAGAAAUAGAUGGACGGUCUUUUUCAAAGAACCUGGUAACAGCCGGUACUAUUUUGCCCUUGCCUCUUACAAAGGAUCCCUGCUUUUAUCCUUUUCAAAAUUUAACACGUUCUUCUCCAAACGAAGAUCUACACGAAGACAGGACAUCUUAGGAGCAGAACGUCCGGAGUAGAGAGGGAAAUUCCAGCGAACGAGCAUGAUGAAAACGAUCGAUUCUGGUGAGCGAGGUCGUUGAGGUUGAAGAUGACAUUAAUGGGGAAGCUGGUGGACAGAGUGGCCGUUAACACGUACGAUUACGCGGGAAGACGAGGAACCUGAAAGGACAAUACUGUCUUUUCCUUUCAUUCAUUAAGUAAUUUUCAGUUUCAUUUUUUAUUUUUAAAGUUAAUAAUUUUUAAAGUUUACAGAGGAUAAUUUCAUCUUGCAUGAUCUGUCAUACUAAAAAAACAAAAUCUAUCAUUUAUAAACUAUCAACACUUUUAGUAUUGUGAUUAAGAGUUUCGAUUAUUUUUUUUUUAAGUUUACGAGUUCAAUUUUCAUUAAAAAUAUAAAAUUUGUUAGUAUAUUAAUAAUACUGUAAUUAACUUAUAAUACUUGAUUUUCAAUAUAUAAAAUAUAUUUAAUUAAUAUAUUAGAGGUUACAAGUAGUAAAUUGGAGUUUAUCAUAUAACAAGUCAUAUUAAAAACGUAUUAUUAGAAUAAAAAUAUUUUUUAAAUCAGUAAAUUUAUAAAUCUAAAUACGUAAUUUCGUACUAAAUUAAUGAAAAAUAUAAACAGAAGUGUAUUUGAAUCCAUCAUGGAAGAAUUAUUCGCGUUCGACACUAAAAUCUUUUGAAUCAACACGAUGCCUUAAAAAUUAAUUUUUUCUGAUGACGAGAUUUUAAAAAAAUAAAAUAUCGACUGUGUGAUUUGGAAACCGUAACCGUUUUUUAUAUCGAUAAAUUUUUACAAUUUUCAUUUCAUUUAUCAUAAAAUGAGAAUACUACAAAAAUAAUAUUUACACAUUAUAAGUUCAUACUUAAAUACGAUGCAUUAAUAUUCAAUAUUAUUUAACCGCAUUUGAUCACUUUUAAACGAAUCCAUUAAAUUGAUAACUUGAUACGUAUAAUAUGACUCAAAUUAAAUCUACAAAUUAAAAAAAAUUCAACACGUAUAUCUUAGUUCCUCUUUGUCACGACUUGAUACAUUUCUGGUUAUGCAUAAGAAAUAUUUUCGCAAGGACUUGUCGAAGUUCCUAAGCUUGCAGCCUCAAGAAAUUACUUUCUCUCAAACAUCACUCCUCAGGCUUGGUUGGAGAGAUAUGUACAAGUUUGCUCAGUAAUGAGCAAAAGAACUUGUUUCGAUAACUCUUGCAAGUUUGCUAAGUAAGAACAAAUUUAUGCAUAUAUAGGUAUAUAUAUAAACUAUGCAUUUAUGCAUGCAUAAUGAGGUCUUUUGAGAGAUAAUAUAAAGAAAAGUUUGGCUCUUUUUUUAUCAGUUCAAGACUUCAGAAAAAUUUGGUUUGAAUUUAUUUGUUUAUUAUAUAGUAGACUUUAAAGUUUAUAAGAUAAUAUAUUUUAUAGAAUUUGAUAACUUGAGUUGGAAUCUUAUUAUCACCAUGUUUGAGGCAUAAUAUAAGUACGAAAUCAUCAUCUCCAUAAUCCAAAUGCCACAAUCUCGAAAUUAAAAUUCUCAAGGGUUGUUGUGUUACAACAUAUUCAUAUUUCAUUGGUACGUAACAAAAAAUGUACUAAACUAUUAAUACGAGUAGGUAUUGAAAUCCAAACAAUCAAACUAUUUUGUUUGCGUACCAAUUUUUUUAAUAUACAAAUUUGUACCUGUCUUAACCCCAUGUAGGUCCAAUAUAUAAUUUUACUCGAACUUAUGCAGCUUGAGAAUGAAAACCAGCACUGAAAAUUUAAGAAAGUUCGGGGAAGGCAAUCUAAAACCAAAAAACUAAAACCUUAGGUUUUAUUAUUACGAUCGGAUAGAAUUUGUCGUAUUCGAAUGAAUCUAAAUAUUCAGGUUCAGAUUCUUGAGGAUGCCGCUUGGGUCUUGAAGGAUUCGUCAGUCUUUGUUUUCUUUCAAAUUAUUUGUUAAAUAUAAUAAUUUCAAUUAUUACAGUUAAAUUUAUUCAACUCCUUUAUAUAUUUUAAAAAAUUAAACUACUAACUAAAACCAGUUCUAUACUUCAAAACUAAAUUUUAUACAAAUAAUGAAAGGUAAAAGAAAAGAAGCAUUCAACAUCAUAAUAUUUAGAUAUAUAAUCAAACACAUUUGUCACAUUCAAUGAGCAAUAAACAAAAAACAGAAUAUCCAAAUCCACACACAUCAAAUUUAUUUAUUUUUUACUUCUAUUCAAUUCUCUCAAAUAAUAACAUGUUAGUAUUUUGAAUGUUACCAAACACUAUCUGUUGGUUUGUUGAGGAAUAAAGCUGGGAAUCUGGGGAAGGGAUUUUGCUACUUGCCCUCCAUCACAGCAAAGCAUAAUUAUAGGGAGGGCUUAUUUUGUUGGAGAAACUUUGUGGAAUUUAUAUCACACAAAUAACCGUAGAGAAGAAGAAGAACAGAAGGGCACUUACUCGAGACAGUUAGAUCGACUAAUUACAAUUUUGCAACCAUCAUUUGGCUUUGGAUGAGGCAGGUAGGUUAUCUUUGAAUCUGGGUUAAUUAAUUCCCACCUGCAAUUUCACAUGUCAUCUAUUAUCAGUAAAAUGAAUCAUCAGUACAAAAGCAUUAAAUUACAAUCAUAAAAAAGAAAACACAUUUACGUAUUCGAAUUCAAGAAUGAUUUAAAACUUUAUAACAAGAGAAUAUCAUUCUUACUUAUAGCCCAUAACCAAAUGGUGAAGAAAGACUGCAAGUUGUGUUUGAGCAAGUUUGCUGCCAACACAUCUCAUUGAUCCCGCACCAAAAGCUUGAUACGCCUCUGGUUUUGUUGAUUGCUAAGGAAUCAAUAAUAAUAUUAAUAAAAAACUAUUAGUAAGUUCAUCAUCAAUAAAGAAUUUAUAGCUAAUUAAUGACUCCGAGAAUGAGAGAAAGCAGCCUACUUACAUUCCACCUGUCUGGAUUAAAGCACAUUGGAUCUUCAAAGUAUUCUGAGUUUGCAUGAGGAUAUCUGACCCAUUGAAGUACCCUCCAACCUUUUGGUAUUAAAUAACCUAUAAUAUUUGAAAGACACUUUCAAAAUUUCAAAAUUAGAAAACUGUUUCUGCUUCUAAAUAACAAGUAUAGACACACACAUACAAAUACAUAUAUAUCAACAAGAAACAACUAUUAUAUGUUGUACAGGAAGACGACCUUCAUAUUCAACAUCAUAAUCACCAGAUCUGAAAAUGAAGCACGAAAUGUUUGCCAUUCUUAUUGUUUCAUCCACCACCUGAAUAACAUUUAGUUGGUGUUAAGUAAAAUAAACAAUGUGCAAUAUUGAAUCUUGAAAAGUGAAUGCUCAUGUAUAGAAAUUUGCAUAUACAAAGCAACGCUAUUGCAGCUCAAUGAAGCCUUGUACAUGUUUUCACUGUCCAUAUUGAACAUUGAACUAGUGCAAGAGUUAGUUAUCACAUAAACGCAGAAGCAUAUUUGCAAUGUAUCCAGUAUGCCACCAUUACCUUCUUUGUAUACUUCAUUUGUGAAAUUUCAUCCAACGUAAUGAAUUCUCCCUCCUUUGUUGAACUCAAUUCCAUAUUUUCUUCCUGGAAAUCAAUUUGAAAUUAAGACCUACAACAUUCAUUACCCAAUAACAAAGUAUAUGAAAUUAUUACAAAUGUUUGUUCAAUAAUACCAGAAAACGUUUAAGCAAUUAAUCCACUAAAUUUAAUUUAGUAAUACUCUUUCAAUUACAGUGGCAGGUCACUUAAAUUAGUAUGAGAUGCAGAAUGUGAGAUGAAGUAGAAUAGUAUUGUUACUCUAAGCCUCUGCAGAAUUUCUGGGUUCUUGGCAAGGUAAUACAUAGCCCAGGCUGAUACAGUUGCAGUAGUUUCGAAGCCCCCGAGAAAAAGUGUCACUAUGUUAUCAAGCACCUCUUCGUCACUUAGCUGCUUCCCAUCCCCAUCCUUAAUUUGCAUUAGAACAUCCAUCAAAUCCUUGUUUUCCUGAUCUCCUUUUUGGUUUUCUUUUCUCUUCUCCAACUUUAGCCUAAAUAUUUCCAUGAGCUUUCUUCGGCACUGCAAAGAGUAAAUUUGGUUUAAUGCAUCUUAUUUGGGCACAUGAGGAAACAUGUAACGCCCCACAUUCAGUAGUACUUUCUCCAAGUUAAUAUGAGUACAUCAGUAUCUACAGUAAAUACAGAUCAAAAUUCCUAUGUGAAUAACACUCCUAUGCAUAAAAAUAACAAGAACAUAUUAUAACAUGAACACAAUUAACAGGUCCAAAUAUGAUUCACAUGAAGUUUUAUGCAUCAAUUAAACUGAGUUACCUGAACAGCACGAUAGUAAGUAGUUCCUGGAAUGUUAAAUGGCUGUGCUUUAAAUCCUUUAAGCAAACAAGCAUAGUACUGGCCAAUCUCAUCCAAAAAGGGUCCUGGUUCGAUGCUGACAAAAACUCGAGCAAUGCUCUCAAAUACCAUCUGCAGGCAGACACAUAUUAACUCUCAGUAACAUAUUCUUCCAUUAUUUGAAGGUUAAAGCCUUACCACCCAAUUUCUAACAAUAACAGACCUUCUUGACAACAUCAAAUGCUAUCACAGAACCCUUGUCAGCCCAUGAACGAAGAGAGGUCUUGAUGCUUGGUUGAAUAUGAAGAACAAUUUUCCUGAGAGAACUAGUGUGGGCAACUGCAGCACUGACAUAACCUUUGACCCUGUCGUGGUGCUCGCCACUAGCUGCUAGCAUAGAAUUGGGGCCAACGAGAUCAUUAGUGGGAAAUCUAUAGGGAAAUAGAUUUGAGUGGAACACAAACUUCGUUACGGCUGGGGAGCAAGCGAUGAUCGAUGGAGAGCCGAACAGAUAUGUUCUAUACAUCCCAACUCCAUCACCGUAUCUGAUCAUUGCAGACAAUACUUAACAUGAUUAAUCAUUAUAUCUUAAUAUUUUUGGGUAAAAGAAGCACAAAAAAAAAAAAAAAUAUAUAUAUAUAUACACACACACACACAUGCUUUGAUGUAAGAUUAUCAUAUGAAUCAUAUGAAGAAGAUGGGUAUUUUACUUGGUUCGUUUAGAAUUGAUGAAAUCAUCGGGUCGGCGCAGAAUCUUGAAGUACCAAAUGAAAGUGAGCAGCUCGCCAAUUAAAGGGAAGCCCAUGUGACCAGGCGGGAGUUUCGCACGCUUAGAAGCCAAGUGUCGUUUGAGCGGCAAAACAUGCCAAAGCUCGUUCCACCACCAUAGUAUGCAAAUCAUUAAAGGCACAACACCCAAAACCCCUGUCAGCCACCAUGCCUCCAUGAUUUCCAAUUCUCUGAUUCUCCGAAAUCUCGUUUCCUACCUCCAGAUCUGAGAGCACAACUG